AGAAGGAUCACUAACGCGAUCAACGACUAAGUUGUGCGACGACGUCGUAGCAGUAGAGAACUGUGAGGCGUCCGCCGCAAUUUUACGUCCAGCCUUCGGCUAGAUGUGUGAAACCCAACGGCUAACUUGGGUCUCUAGGUCGGAGCGAGCAGUUGUCCUCAGUCCGUGGCUGCAACGACUCUCCGACGACAGAUUCGCUUUUGAGAGCUCGAGUCGAGACUUAAUGACCCGAUGAGGCGCCCAAGAACCAAUCAUUUUUUGAAAUUUUUUUAAGUCAGCAAUUUUCAAGCUAUAUCGGUGGAUCACUUGGCUCGUGGAUCGAGGAAGAACGCAGUGAAUUGCGUUAAGAAUCACGAAUUACAGAUAUUAUGAGUGACAUGUUUUCGAUUGCAUAUUGCACUAUUAGGCACUUGUCUAUUAGUAUAUUCGACUCAGGGUGUUAAUCACAAAAGAUAGAUUGAAAUAAUUUUUAUUGGGCGUCGUUGCAGAAAUUCGUUUUUGGAUGUUGCCCACUCAGCACACGCUAACAGUGUUGUUGUUUGAGUUGUGUAGUUGUUGUAAGUGUUUUCUCGGUUUUUCAAUAAUCACUUGUUAGAUCUUGAAAGCUCUCACGACAACGUUUUACACCACCAAAUUCAUUUUUGGCUUGAUCACCUGAGUUGCGUAUGACUACCUGCCGAACUUAAGCAUAUCAGUAAGCAGAGGAAAAGAAACCAACUGGGAUUUCCCGAGUAACUGCGAGUGAAAAGGGAGGAGCUCAGCGCUAAAAGCGAAACUCACACGAUUUUCGCUGGUGUAGCGUUUGGAGCGUCCAAUCGACGGCGUCGGGGCGGUCUAAGUUUCGCUGGAACGCGGCCGCACAGAUGGUUUUACGCCAGUCUGGCCACCCGGCGUCGGCGAGUCGACGUCUCCGGGAGUCGGGUUGUUUGGAAACGCAGCCCAAAGCGGGUGGUAAACUUCACCUAAAGCUAAAUAGCGCCACGAGACCGAUAGCAAACAAGUACUGUGAAGGAAAGUUGAAAAGCACUUUGAAAAGAGAGUGCAAGAGAACGUGAAACCGUUAUAGUGGAAGCGGAUGGAGCCGACGUAUCCGGUGCGUAUUCAGCCAUUGGCUGUAAUGAAUGGCGGGUGUGGAUUCUGCAAAGUUCCUCUCCUGUUACACUCAUUCUGGUCGUUGGUGCAUUUGCGUACAGAGUGCGCCGAAUCGGCCGGGCCUCGCCGUUCGAGGCGGGCGAAGAGGACUUGCGUUCGCGUAAGAAACCUGCGCUCGCGGACGACGGACGAGCCUGGUCGUCGAGGGGUGGGUGAAUUCGCGGUUCGGCCGCUCCGCUCCCAUUCGGUGUCCCGUCGGUCACCCAUUUGACCCGUCUUGAAACACGGACCAAGGAGUUUAAGGUGUACGCGAGUCAUUGAGUGCCAAACUCAUAGGCGCAAUGAAAGUGGGACACUCGGUGUCUGCGAUGUGAGGCGGCCGGCGUUUCGACGUCGCCACCGCAACAUCGACCCAUGACUGGAAUUUAUUCUGUCGUGGAGUCCGAGCGUACGCCCUGAGACCCGAAAGAUGGUGAACUAUGCCGAACAGGACGAAGUCAGAGGAAACUCUGAUGGAAGUCCGAAGCGGUUCUGACGUGCAAAUCGAUCGUCUGAUUUGGGUAUAGGGCGCAAGACUAAUCGAACCAUCUAGUAGCUGGUUCCUUC
rnacentral:misc_RNA from 1 species